CAGUAGCCGCGGGAAUACGUAGGUGGCAAGCGUUGUCCGGAAUUAUUGGGCGUAAAGGGCUCGCAGGCGGUUUCUUAAGUCUGAUGUGAAAGCCCCCGGCUCAACCGGGGAGGGUCAUUGGAAACUGGGAAACUUGAGUGCAGAAGAGGAGAGUGGAAUUCCACGUGUAGCGGUGAAAUGCGUAGAGAUGUGGAGGAACACCAGUGGCGAAGGCGACUCUCUGGUCCGUAACUGACGCUGAGAGACGAAAGCUAGGGGAGCAAAUGGGAUUAGAUACCCGUGUAGUCCCUGUCUCUUAUAA
rnacentral:rRNA from 1 species